rnacentral:lncRNA from 1 species
UACGGGGACUUGAAACCAUUCCCAUGCCUUCUGCGACUCCUGUGACUGCGUUGAGAGACGUGGGACAGGCUGUUUUGCAGGCAUGGACCUCCGAGCAGCUCGCGCUGACCAUGGAUGCAGUCAAUCGGCUGAGCAACGCCACACGAGAGACCAUCAAGGCUCAAAGGCAACAGAU